GACGAACGCUGGCGGCGUGCUUAGCACAUGCAAGUCGAACGGAAAGGCCCCUUUGGGGGUACUCGAGUGGCGAACGGGUGAGUAACACGUGAGUAACCUGCCCUUGACUUCGGGAUAACUUCAGGAAACUGGGGCUAAUACCGGAUAGGAAUCCUUGCUGCAUGGUGGGGGUUGGAAAGCUUCGGCGGUUUUGGAUGGACUCGCGGCGUAUCAGCUUGUUGGUGGGGUAGUGGCUUACCAAGGCUUUGACGGGUAGCCGGCCUGAGAGGGGGACCGACCACAUUGGGACUGAGAUACGGCCCAGACGCCUACGGGAGGCAGCGGUGGGGAAUAUUGCACAAUGGGCGGAAGCCUGAUGCAGCAACGCCGCGUGCGGGAUGACGGCCUUCGGGUUGUAAACCGCGUUCAGCAGGGGCGAGGCUUGUGGUGACGGUACCUGAAGAAGAAGCACCGGCUAACUACGUG
rnacentral:rRNA from 1 species